rnacentral:rRNA from 1 species
GAAUUUUGGACAAUGGGCGAAAGCCUGAACCAGCAAUGCCGCGUGCAGGAAGAAGGCCUUCGGGUUGUACACUGCUUUUGUACGGGACGAAAAACUUUUGGCUAAUACCCUGGAGUCAUUGCGGUAUCGGAAGCAUAGGCACCGCAUUAAUACGUGCCAGCGUCCGCGGUACAACGUAGGGUGCAAGCGUUAAUCGGCAUUACUGGGCGUAAAGCGUGCGCAGGCGGUUUUGUAAGACAGAGGUGAAAUCCCCGGGCUCAACCUGGGAACUGCCUUUGUGACUGCAAGGCUAGAGUACGGCAGAGGGGGGUGGAAUGCCGCGUGUAGCAGUGAAAUGCGAAGAUAUGCGGAGGAACACCGAUGGCGAAGGCAACCCCCUGGGCCUGUACUGACGCUCAUGCACGAAAGCGUGGGGAGCAAAC